AAAGAUAUAGCAUAUUCUUCUGAAUAUACUUUAUUAACCCAUUCCGAGUACCUUACCCGUUGCUUCCGCGAGGCUGUCCUCACGGCCCUCUGAAGAUUUAUCUUUGGGGGAGUCCUUGCGGAAGGUAUACAAUAAACUCUUGCAUUACCAUGUCAUCUGUCUGAAUCUGUUUAAAAACAAAUAUUA
rnacentral:misc_RNA from 1 species